GUGCUUGCUUCAGCCCACAAAUAUUAAGACUGGAAUGAUUCAGAGAUUAGCAUGGCCCCUGCACAAGGAUAGCAUGCAAAUUGGUAAAGCAUUCCAUUUUUUU
ensembl:snRNA U6 U6 spliceosomal RNA